rnacentral:rRNA from 1 species
UCUUCGGGAGGCAGCAGUGGGGAAUCUUGCCCAAUGGGCGAAAGCCUGAAGCACCAACGCCGCGUGAACGAUGAAGGCCUUUGGGUUGUAAAGCUCCUCAGGGGGGCCGGAGAGUGACGUACCNCNGACGACGGCCCGAUNNC